UGUGAGUACUGGGAAAGGGAGGCGUCUUUCAAUUCCACGUUCUGACUCGUGGUCAAACCUUUCCCCGCUCUUGUCGAGCUUGAAAAACCAGAGAGUCAGGAGAAGAAACACCCGAGGAAACUGCUAAGCUCCGCCCACCUUUGCCUUUGCAGUAGCAGCUAACGUAGAUGACCGACGACUGUUGAUGGUAGUAACGACCGAAUUUCCAAAUCUCACCGCUUGGAGGGAUAAAUGUAGGGAUAGGGAGAAGCCGUAAAGGUUACAACCGGUUCCCUCGAGAGAAGAUCCAAUAUCACCAGAAAAAGAAGGAUAGAUGGAGAAGGAGAAAUGUCACAAAAAGAAGAAAAAAAGAAAACAUGUUUGGUGGUUUGACAGAAAAAAAAGGUGAAGAAAGUACAAAGUGACAGCUUAGACAUCAGGAAAUAUGAGAAAAUUGUACAAGAGAGGAUGGGGAGACCUGACAGUCUGUUUGUGAAUGUUUCCUGCCAGAGGUCUGUAUUGAAAAUCUGACAGUAGGAAGAAAAAAAGAAUAAAAUGUCAAAAUAAAAGCCUGUUUAAACAAA